GCCAGCAGCCGCGGUAAUUCCAGCUCCAAUAGCGUAUAUUAAAGUUGUUGCGGUUAAAAAGCUCGUAGUUGGAUUUCUGUUGAAGGCAGCCGGUCCGCACUUGGUGCGUGUAUCUGGUUUGACUUCGGCAUCCUCUCAAAACACGUUUCUGCGCUUGAUUGCGUGGAGCGGGGUUUGAGACUUUUACUUUGAGGAAAUUAGAGUGUUCACGGCAGGCAAUCGCCUUGAAUAUAUUAGCAUGGAAUAAUAAUAUAGGAUCUUGGUUCUAUUUUGUUGGUUUCUAGAGCUAAGAUAAUGAUUAAUAGGGACAGUUGGGGGCAUUCGUAUUAACACGUCAGAGGUGGAAUUCUUGGAUUGUGUUACGACGAACUACUGCGAAAGCAUUUGCCAAGGAUGUUUUCAUUGAUCAAGAACGAAAGUAAGGGGAUCGAAGACGAUUAGAUACCGUCGUAGUCUUUACCAUAAACUAUGCCAACUAGAGAUGGGGUGUCGUUCUUUUCUGACUCACUCCGCACCUUAUGAGAAAUCAAAGUCUUUGGGUUCCGGGGGGAGUAUGGUCGCAAGGCUGAAACUUAAAGGAAUUGACGGAAGGGCACCACCAGGAGUGGAGCCUGCGGCUUAAUUUGACUCAACACGGGAAAACUCACCAGGUCCAGACAUA
rnacentral:rRNA from 1 species